rnacentral:rRNA from 1 species
GAAAUACGCUCCCCGCAAGGUCUCUAUACAGGUGGUGCAUGGUUGUCGUCAGCUCGUGUCGUGAGAUGUUGGGUUAAGUCCCGCAACGAGCGCAACCCUCGUCCUAUGUUGCCAGCACGUAAUGGUGGGAACUCAUGGGAGACUGCCGGGGUCAACUCGGAGGAAGGUGGGGAUGACGUCAAAUCAUCAUGCCCCUUAUGUCUUGGGCUUCACGCAUGCUACAAUGGCCGGUACAAAGGGCUGCAAUACCGCAAGGUGGAGCGAAUCCCAUAAAGCCGGUCUCAGUUCGGAUUGGGGUCUGCAACUCGACCCCAUGAAGUCGGAGUCGCUAGUAAUCGUAGAUCAGCAACGCUACGGUGAAUACGUUCCCGGGCCUUGUACACACCGCCCGUCAAGUCACGAAAUCGGUAACACCCGAAGCCGGUGGCCUAACC